rnacentral:rRNA from 1 species
GACGAACGCUGGCGGCGUGCUUAACACAUGCAAGUCGAACGGAAAGGCCCUGCUUGCAGGGUACUCGAGUGGCGAACGGGUGAGUAACACGUGGGUGAUCUGCCCUGCACUUCGGGAUAAGCCUGGGAAACUGGGUCUAAUACCGGAUAGGAGCCAUUUUUAGUGUGAUGGUUGGAAAGUUUUUUCGGUGUAGGAUGAGCUCGCGGCCUAUCAGCUUGUCGGUGGGGUAAUGGCCUACCAAGGCGGCGACGGGUAGCCGGCCUGAGAGGGUGGACGGCCACAUUGGGACUGAGAUACGGCCCAGACUCCUACGGGAGGCAGCAGUGGGGAAUAUUGCACAAUGGGCGCAAGCCUGAUGCAGCGACGCCGCGUGGGGGAUGACGGCCUUCGGGUUGUAAACUCCUUUCGCUAGGGACGAAGCUUUUUGUGACGGUACCUAGAUAAGAAGCACCGGCUAACUACGUG